CUACAGUAACUCACUUGAUCAUUCUUUGGACAGAUGAUUCUAUGGCAAAAAUAAAGAAAUUCGUGUCCAAUGUCACAAAGAUUGUUACACGCGAGAAACUUAAAAUAAUUUUAAUUUAAAGUUUCAAUAUUUUAAAAAAUUUUCAUUCCUGGGUAGUUGACCUUACGUAAUAUAACUAUAUACGAACUUUUUAUUAACUUUGAUAUUUACCGAGUCAGUUCUUUUUUUUGUAUUGUGGCGCCUGAACAUAGAAACUCUCACUAUCCAAAUGUAAAAACUUAUAAAUUAAUAUUUUAUUAACGAAUAUUUAAAAACAUCAUUGCAAUUGCGCUCGAAGCGAUGAUGUAAUCGAAUGUUUGUGUCACUAUUAUAAAAAUAUCGCAAAGUGAAAACAGUAUUUAUUCGUUUGCGUUUUGCGAUUUAAACAACAAGUAUUUUUGCAUCGAUUGCGUGCAAUUCAAUCGUAAAAGUCAGUGUUCGCUCGCAAAGUAUUUUGCUUUUUUAAUAGUCGCACAGACUGUAUUUAUAAAAGACAAUAGAAUUUCUCGAAGUAAAUUCAGUGAUUGUUCGUUAAUAAAUAACUAGAGUCAGUGCACCAUUGAAUAGGAUCUCGACUAACUUCGAUACCGACCUACUUCAUUUUCAACCAGCUACAUUUUAUCCACCCUUAAUUUUAAUCUAAAUCGCGGACGAGUGUUUUGGAGCCGUCGCAGAACUUCUAAAGUAGGAUCAUCGAGGGAUCAACGAGGGAUAGACUUAUCUACGAUCGGAUGAGUCCGAUGUAUUGUUAAAUGGCUCGGUUCAUCGUCAAUUUUUAUGCGAUAAUACGGGAAGAAUAGGGAGAACACUAGCACGUGUAGGACGGCAUAUGCAUGGGUGUUAGUGGACGCGAUUAAAAGUUCAUUUUAUUUAUUCGAAAAUUCAAUUAAAUAACCUCGCGUGGGUGUCUGGUUUGGUGGGUGGGUGUCUUGAUUAAAAGUCUUACCAUGGAUUUCAUUGUAUUAUUCGAAAUUUGAAAUACACGAAAGAUUCUACUUAGUAGUAGAGUACAUGUAGUUACCGAUGUUGCAACGGUUCAGUUACCCAUAAGCGGAGACUGACCCUUCUCUAGAUAGUGUUGAGAGCCAGAAUUCUCGGUUAGCUCAUGUCACCUCAGAUUUCAACGUAGAGUCAGCGUGAUUCUAAACACUCACGUGAACGUUUUAAACACUCACGGAGACUGACCCUCCUCCUCUAGAUAAUAUUGGGAGCCAGAAUUCUCGAUUAGCUCAUGUCACCUCGGAUUUCAACGUAGAGUCAGCGUUAUUCUAACACUCACGUGAGUGUUCGCGAACGCAAUUAAAAGUCCUACCGGGAACUUUGUUUUAUUUGUUAUUGAAAAUUCGAUUAGAUUAUUUCGCGAACGCGAACUUUAGAACAGAGUCACCGUUAGCCCGUUGGUCUCCAGAUACAGCAAUUUGCACGUAGUGAGACUUAGGUCGAUAGUACUUGUGAUAUAUUGAAAUCUAAUUGUAAAUCACGCAAUGCAACUUACCGGACGAACGGCUGAAUAUUUCAAUGCAUUUUAAAAAUCCCUUCAAAUUAAUUCUGAUUAAACACUAAAGUACUAAUACUUUAUAUUGGAAAUAAUACUUCUAUAGACAAAUAGAUAAAAUAUAGUUAAAUUCAAAGAUAAUUCUUUAAAUUCGCAAAUGUAUAUACUAAUUAUCAUAUAUGUUAAUUACAUUUAUUAUUUUUUAUGCUUUUAUCGUGAAAUAAAUCCAGUACCAGCGUCGCAUCUAACAUGGAUCAUUGCAAGACCCACGCAUCAUAUAGAAAGAUAUACAUAUGAGAGAUUGAAAAGAGUGAGUUUACUAUCUACUAAAUUACUUACUCUAUCCACACAAAACCAAUUAUUAUAUAAGCGCGAAAGAAGAAUAACCAUCAAGCUUAUAUAUCGAUACAAUAGACGUAUGGUAGAGACAGCGUUCCCCGCAUGUAUUCGCAGUUCAUAUUUUACCUGUCGCUAAAGUCACACGCGCUUUGAACAAAAGGUAUUGAAAGCGCGCAAACAAUACUCGUAGUACCAACUAGUAACAGGAAUUAAUACUACACACUUUAAUGUAAAAUACUCAUCGCACCAUCUAGCAGCGAGAAAUUAUACUAUAACAUUAAGUACAAAAUAUCCAUUGUACCAUCUAAGAAAUUGAUACUAACGAAAUAAUACAACUUAUCUGUAUUCCCAUUUAUCGAUUCAAUUAAAAGAAUAAAAUUUCUCAAAAAUCACCUUA